rnacentral:tRNA from 1 species
GCCUGGGUGGCUCAGUCAGUUGAGCAUCCGACUUCGGCUCAGGUCAUGACAUCAGUUUGUGGGUUCGAGCCCCGUGUCAGGCU